rnacentral:tRNA from 1 species
GGACAGGUGGCCGAGCGGCUGAAGGCACCGGUUUGCUAAACCGACAUACUGGGUAUUCCUGGUAUCGCGGGUUCGAAUCCCGCCCUGUCCG